UAAGUAAGUGGUGGAAAUUAAACCAAAUGGGAUAUCUUUAGUAAUUGCGAAUGAACAAGGAUAUGCUUAGCUUGACAAAUGGAGCUAUUGGCUUUGAAUUGUAUUGUGGAAAUGUAUUACCAACAGAGGUGCAGGUGCCAGCCUAUUGAAAUAAAGCGUCAAUGAGGGUGAGAAUCCUGUUUGUCAUGUGCAGCCCUUUGUGCACGGUGUAUAUUUGCUGAGUCACACUCCUUGGCAUUGGAAUGCAAAGUGGGUGGUAAGUUUCAUGUACAGGUAAACAUGCAAUUGAGACUGAUAGCACACAAGUACCAUGAGGGAAAUAUGAAAAGGACUUUGAAAAGAGAAUUAAAUGAGUUUGUAUUUGCUGAACACAAAGUAAACAGACUUGAUUUGCUUGGUGGGAGUGUUGCACUUGCUUGACAAGAGCUUUGGGCUGUGGGUGUAAUGAUUCUUUCUUUGCAUGCCAGUUUCUAUGUGUACAUCUGAUUACCUUUGCACAUGAAUGAUAAGUCUCCUGUGGGGGGUGGAUUGCAUGUGCAUGUAAUGAUUUGUGUUUUGAUAAAUGUGUCUGGUGUAUGUGUGUGUGUUCCUGUGCUUGGGGAUGCUUCCUUCCUUGGACUUACAAGCCCUGACACACACAUGCUGCAAAAUGCUUCUGCUUGACCCG
rnacentral:rRNA from 1 species